rnacentral:rRNA from 1 species
UAUGAAUGGCGUCACGAAGGCCCCACUGUCUUAAGAGGACUCUCCAUGAAAUUGAAUUCGUAUUGAAGAUGCUACGUCCAUAUUGUAAGACGAAAAGACCCCAUUGAGCUUUACUAAAGACUUGCAUGGCUCAAAAUAAUUUGACUUAAAUAAAGAGUUUAGAUAAUGUGGGACCCGUUUUCGGUUAAUGAAACACCACUCUUUUAUUUUAAGAGAGCUAACAUUACAGGGAUAGUGUAAGUUGGAUAGUUUGGUUGGGGCGACCACCUUUUAAAAGGUAACGAAGGUGAGCUUAAGGUCCGUAGUUAAUAGCCGGUGGCCUGACUGCAAGGGGGACGUCUCGAGCAGACA